rnacentral:lncRNA from 1 species
ACCGGAAAUGCCUGUUGUAUUUUCCUUUGUUCCUCUCUGGGAAUGAAUGAGUCUGCGCACUGCCUCUCUGCGCACUGCCUCUCUGCGCAUUGCCUCUCUGCGCAUCUCUCUGCGCAUUGCUGACGCACUACGCAGGGCGGGGACUCCGCAUAGGGCGGACCUUGAAGCCGACUGCCCUGAGGCCAAUCAGCAAACUGGCCUUCGCCAGCCGCUUUUGGCUUCCUUAACUGAUUAGCUAGCACUUUACCUGACUGGUACCCUUUUUUCUCAUAAUGAGCUGCUUCUUCCUCCCAGUCUGUUUCUUCAGAGGAGAAUUCAUCAUCUGAUUCAGAGCUACCAAGAGCUGGCUCCCCGAGCCCAUCCAGCGAUGAGCACAGGCUCCUUUUCCUAGAGACCUCCGCUAAUUGAUCUUUCUUCUUUUCCCUUUUUCCUCUUUUUCUUCUAAUCUCUCUCCAGGUAUUCCUACCUAACCUUAACUUUUCCUCGGGUUCAAGACCCUUGGAAAGGCCUGUAUACUUAUUUUGUGUACCAUAUUUCCUCUUUGUUCCUACUCUCUCUCCCCACUUUACUUCUGAUAGCUUGUCCUGAAUUUCAUCCAGAAUCCGCCCUGCCUUAACCACUUGAUAACAUGUGAAAAGGAACAAAAGGGCUUCUAACACUAGAAAAAAUUCAAGGCCAAACAUAUUCCACUUUACUUCUGAUAGACUGUCUUGAAUUUCCUUAGAAAGUUCAAGAUCAGACUUACCUCGUAAAGCUGUACUCACUGGUACUCUCGUUCCCCAGCUGAAAAGUUCUGAAUUCAUACAGUUGAAUCCUUCUUAACAGUCUGCUUUACGGGAACCUUUAUUACCGCGACCCGCAGUUCUGGUUCUGGAAUGAGGGAUCUUCCUUGCGCCAGUCCCGAGUUUUUUCUCGUCCCGGAAUUCGGCACCAAUUGUUAUUAGACGCGUUCUCACGCCCGGCCAGGAAGAACACCACAGACCAGAAUCUUCUGCGGCAAAGCUUUAUUGCUUACAUCUUCAGGAGCAGGAGUGCAAGAAGCAAGAGAGAGAGAAAACGAAACCCCGUCCCUUUUUUAGGAGAGUUAUAUUUCGCCUAGGACGUGUCACUCCCUGAUUGGCUGCAGCCCAUCGGCCGAGUUGACGUCACGGGGAAGGCAGAGCACAUGGAGUGGAGAACCACCCUCGGCAUAUGCGCAGAUUAUUUGUUUACCACUUAGAACACAGCUGUCAGCGCCAUCUUGUAACGGCGAAUGUGGGCGCGGCUCCCAACAACUCGGCACUAAGGAAGCAGAUAGGGGGUCUCCAGGGCAUGUUAGCUAGCUAGACCGGCCAGAACUGACAGCAGGCCCUGCUUUAAUAAAGCAGAGAGUGGAUGAGGAAGACACGUGCAGGCUCAAGGAUAUUCUAAUACACAUACACACACAAACAUACACAAAGAAAAUAAAUCUGACUGUCCAUAGGGAAAUCUUCCUUGUUUUGCCUUUAUAUGUAGUCUGCUACUAUGUUUUUAUAUAUUAUAAUUGUGGCACAGAAGUUUUUCUGCCCCUGUGGUUCAAUGAACAUUUUUCAACUGUGUAUGUGUGUGUGUGUGUGUGUGUGUGUGUGUGUGUGUGUAGGUCAGAAGACAACUUGUGGAGUAAUCUCUUAGACUAUGGAGAUCCUAAGAUAAAGCCCGGGCCAUCAGCCUUAAUGGGAAAUGCCCUCGGCCACUGAGCCAUCUCAAUGGCCCCCAAGUAAAAUUUAUGUUUUAUCCCUGCAUUACCAACUUGCCUGUGUGACUGCUAAAAGUCCACCUCUACAUUUAUUUAUGUAUUUCCUCUGCGGGGGCGAGAGGACGCAUGCAUGUGAAGGUCGGAGGACAUGACAUGCACGAGUCAGGACAUUCAAGAUCUCAGGCUCCACCUAAGUGCCUUUAUUGUCUCAGUCUUGAGAACAUGUAGUUGACAUGACCUCUUUGGUUCUGUUAUUUUAGGCAGGCUUUAUAGAGUAUAAUUAAGGCCAAAGUAAGAAAUGCACAUAGUAUGAGCAUAGGAUAAUUUGCACAGAUUAUAUUGACAGGAUGUCUAAAAUCACUCAUUUACUUUCUCUAAACAGUUAAUUAACUCUGAAAACUCAGAUACUUACAAUGUAAACACCAAUGAGUUCUAGGGCUUAUUCAUCCUGAAGCACUGAACAUGUGUCAUAUAUAUAUCUGUUACCUCCCUUCCCUCUAAAUACCUUCUUGCCAGCUAGUCUCCAGUGGCCUCACCAUUGAAAAGACAGUCACACCCCACCCAGCAGCAAACAUCAGUAACUCCUCAGGAAAAGGUCCUUUUCUUCGAAAAUCUAAAACUAAGUGGUUUGUCUUAUAUGUGGCUGUUCCCAAGACCCAUGUCAUUUCAACAUUUUGUUUGUUUGUUUGUUUGUUUGUUUGUUAUUUUUGCCUUGUAUUGUUUGAGUUUCUCUUAUUCUUCACUUCCAAAUAGUAACCAUUCUAUUAAUAAGAUACAAAACAGGAUUUUUGCUAAUGAAUUGACUGACUGAUUGAUUGUUUGUUUGAUUGAUUGAUAGUUUUAGUUAGAAAGAUAUUCAGCGUGCCAGCAGGUGUUCUGGUUUCGCUUUACUGUCCCCAGAUAUAAUGAAAUACAAUAAAUUUGUAUAUUUUAGC